GAUAAAAAGGCACCAGCUCUUAGAGUUGGGGGCAUUUUCCCUCCCCAAGCAACCAAGAUUUAUAUUGAACAGUAUGGACUACUGGACAUUAUCUGUUCCCCUGCUUCCACCGGCCAACGCCAAACAAAUGUUCUAAUGUUGUCCUUGAAAUCCUGACAAGUGGAAGCCAUCAGAAAGAAUGAGGUAGAGCUCCAAGGACGGUAAAAAUCUUCACAAGAGGACCUUAUUAACAUUGCUCCUACACCUUAAGGUCGGAAAUUAUACCUUCUGAUGCAGUACAGACUUCUGCAGAUCAUUUCCAGAGAUAUAAGAUUGAAGGAAAAGAAAUAAUCUGCAGUGGAAAAUAUUAUUUUCAAAAUCAGGAAAGUGUCUGCAAGAGCUUAAUUUUUACUUGAAGAAAAACUAUGCUUCCAAAAACAGAACAAUCCAAAGAGCUUCAUCCUAAUUUUUGUUGUUGUUCCACAGCAUGCUGCCUGCCUCACUGAAUGUUCAGCUUCUGCUAGCGUACCAUGUGGCGUUCUACCAGCUGCUGAACAGUUGCUUGCAACAGACAGCUGCCGAGAGUCACAUAUGAGUGAUGUUUAUAAAAACGACAGUGUAACGUGACUGAUAUCUCCCGCUUCCCAUUAUUAGCUUCCUAUGGACAUUAAGAUGGCAGAAAACAGUUCUGAAAUCGUUUUAGAAAAGUGGAGAUACUGUAAUGCAGGCUGGGAGAGAUAAUUGGGAUUUGAAGUGUCCAGAGAAAAUGUUGGCAGCAUCUCUUUGGAAUAUUUAAAUGAAUUUGGAAGUGCUGAUAGUUUGCUUCAUUUUU